rnacentral:rRNA from 1 species
AUUGAACGCUGGCGGCAUGCCUUACACAUGCAAGUCGAACGGUAACACCACAUCGGUGGCUGACGAGUGGUGAACGGGUGCGUAAUACUUCGGAAUGUGUCUAGUAGUGGUGGAUCACUACUCGAAAGAGUAGCUAAUACCGCAUGAGAUCUAAUGAUGAAAGCAGGGGACCUCCGGGCCUUGCGCUACUAGAGCGGCUGAUGUCAGAUUAGGUAGUUGGUGGGAUAAAAGCUUACCAAGCCGACGAUCUGUAGCUGGUCUGAGAGGACGACCAGCCACACUGGAACUGAGACACGGCCCAGACUCCUACGGGAGGCAGCAGUGGGGAAUUUUGGACAAUGGGCGCAAGCCUGAUCCAGCAAUGCCGCGUGCAGGAUGAAGGCCUUCGGGUUGUAAACUGCUUUUGUACGGAACGAAAAGCCGUCUUCUAAUACAGGAGGGUCAUGACGGUACCGUAAGAAUAAGCACCGGCUAACUACGUG